AAGUCGUAACAAGGUUUCCGUAGGUGAACCUGCGGAAGGAUCAUUAUUGAAUAAACGUGGUUGGGUUGUUGCUGGCUUCUAGGAGCAUGUGCACGCUCACUCCAUUUUUAACCACCUGUGCACCUUGUGUAGAUCUGAACAAAUCUCGGGGAAACUCGGUCAGAGAAUUGCUGUGUGUUUAAAAAGCCAGCUUUUCUUGGGUUCAGAUCUAUGUCUCUAUAUACACCAUAUGAAUGUAUUCGAAUGUAAUUGAUAGGCGUUACAGCCUCUAAAAUCAAAUACAACUUUCAACAACGGAUCUCUUGGCUCUC
rnacentral:misc_RNA from 1 species